UUCUACUCCUGAAUUAUCUUUCCUAGGUGAAUUUUGAUAUGCAUUCUGUAACUCUUUGAGAGGGUCCUCGCUGGUAGAUGAAUCCCCCUUGACCCACUCUGGCCCUGAUUUGCACUGCUUCUCAAACAUCAUCUGAAGAGUUCGAUUCAAGUGUGCCACGUUUGGGCAUGUUGACAAGGAAAUACUACACAGCCUCAGUAAGCUGGUGCCUAGCGGGCUCUUGCAAAAUUUUCACAAACCAAAACGGCAUACCUCAAGUUGUUCAUGAAGCCUCUUUUGUACUUCCAUCUGCAACCGCAGAGCUUCAGUGAUCUCAAUACCCCUGAUCCAUAAUGUUCAUGGAACACAAUAAUCAGCCAGAAAACAUAAAGGUUUUGUGGUUCAUAAGAAAACCAUACUUCAUACUUGGUGGCACAGCUAGAUAGCCAGCCAGGAGGCAAGGGUCUGGAAAGGCAGCAGGUAAUGGGUGCAUUCAAAAUCAAUGAAGAGACCAAUUUGCAGAUCAAUUCAUAUAGCACACGCAUACACACAGCGACAAACUUAUUCAGUUAUUCUCAAAUAGGGGACUAGCCUGUGAAUUUGGUGAUUACAUACUAAUCCAAGAGUCAUGUACUAAUUUUGAACAUUAGAAGGAGCGCAAAUGAUCAAUCAAAAUAAAUAUCAACAGAAGCACUGCAAAUUACCUACAACACCAUAGAGAUAAAUAUGCUUAACAAUUUGUAUACAAUUAUUAUGGAUAAAACUAACUACAGUUUCUAAAACUGUCUGUUUAUAUUCCCUUCAAGAACAAAAUGCAUUAUAUGAAAGAAAAUAUAUCCAUCUCAGACGUAAGGACCCAACA